UGAGGCGGGUUGUGAAACGUUAGGGAGGACUCCGUUUUCCCACACACAUUCACGGGAGAAAAGCAUCCGGCCAUUCAGGGUUCACAAGGGCUAGUGUGAUCCCAGUUGUCCUCCUGGCAGGCGGUCACAGCAGUAAACACCCCAAAAUUUCUGCUCUCUUUGGCUUUGGGUGAUUUCUGUAAUCAUGUGACAACGCCAUGGACAAUCAGCCGAGCGAGGCCCAGAGGAUCUGUGUGCGCUGUUGCGGCCCUCAGUUUCCUAUUUAAAGGGGAAUGAUGUUCAGUGCAUUCCUGGUCGGAAGGCAGGUCAGAUGCCACAAGAAUCAAAACUUGUCUGUCAUAUCAGUCAGGGUCCAAUCAGGAACAUAGAAACCACACCUGUUAUUUUAAUGGAGGGAAUUUAAUGCUUCCUCUAGCACCCCCUACUGGCAGAGCCUUGCUGAGGCGCCACCUGGCCAAGAGACUGCGCGAGGCCCCCAGCCCAGCAGCGUCGGAAAGGAAUACACGUUUCCAGUAUUGAGCUAUUACAGACAGUGCUGCUGUGAGCGUUCCUGUUUGUAUCUUUUAAUGCACUUGUGCACUCAUGUUGUAAAGUGUACUUGCUGGAUUUAAGAAUACAGAUAUUAACCGUU